rfam:Nitrospira bacterium SG8_3 WOR_8-12_3208, whole genome shotgun sequence.
GGGGGCGAAACGGCUUCGACGGGAAUAUGGAAGCAUAGGUGGCAUACCGAGCGCCGUCAGCUCGUAAAAAAGGCGGAACUAAAAUAAUCGCAGACGAUUAUAACUACGCCUUAGCCGCGUAAUGUAGGCUAACGUCCCGCCGGGUUUUUCCUGCGGACCCGGAUGAGGGCGUCGAUCAGCAGGAUAGCCUCUAGCGACCGCUUGUUGCGCAUGAGGCGAAAUGAUUGGCAAGCUAGCCCCUGCGGCAUCCUGCCUGAAAGAGGCCUCGUGGGGCGAAAUGAAAAAUUCAGGCUAUGUAUGUAGAAGCCUAUGUGGAAUAUUAUCGGACGCGGGUUCGACUCCCGCCGCCUCCACCA